UGGGAAACAGAUGCUAAAUACCGGGAUAACAACAGAUGAUGCCCUAUCAACUGUUUUAAAAAGAUGGUUCUGCUAUCACUCUUGGAUGGACCCUGCGGUGCAUUAGCUAGUUGGUAGGGUAACGGCCUACCAAGGCGAUGAUGCAUAGCCGAGUUGAGAGACUGAUCGGCCACAUUGGGACUGAGACACGGCCCAAACUCCUACGGGAGGCAGCAGUAGGGAAUCUUCCACAAUGGACGCAAGUCUGAUGGAGCAACGCCGCGUGAGUGAAGAAGGGUUUCGGCUCGUAAAGCUCUGUUGUUGGUGAAGAAGGACAGGGGUAGUAACUGACCUUUGCUUGACGGUAAUCAAUUAGAAAGUCACGGCUAACUACGUGCCAGCAGCCGCGGUAAU
rnacentral:rRNA from 1 species